AGAACGAACGCUGGCGGCAUGCCUAACACAUGCAAGUCGGACGCUUUCGGGGGCUUCGGCCUCCGAGGGAGUGGCGGACGGGUGAGUAGCGCGUGGGAACCUGCCCCUUUGUGGGGGAUAACCGAGGGAAACUUCGGCUAAUACCGCAUGCGCCCGGGGGUAACUCCGGGGAAAGAUUUAUCGCAGAGGGAGGGGCCCGCGUCGGAUUAGCUAGUUGGUGGGGUAACGGCCUACCAAGGCUUUGAUCCGUAGCUGGUCUGAGAGGAUGAUCAGCCACACUGGGACUGAGACACGGCCCAGACUCCUACGGGAGGCAGCAGUGGGGAAUAUUGGACAAUGGGCGCAAGCCUGAUCCAGCAAUGCCGCGUGAGUGAUGAAGGCCUUAGGGUUGUAAAGCUCUUUCGGCGGGGACGAUGAUGACGGUACCCGCAGAAGAACGCCCCGACUAACUUCGUGCCAGCAGCCGC
rnacentral:rRNA from 1 species